AAAGAGAUACAUAGUUGGCUUACAAUCGCCACUUCACACAAUUACAUGAAUAAAGCAUUACAUCAUCCAGAUACAAUCAAGGUCCGACUACGGAACCAAAAUAAAAGAAGAACCCCAAAUGCGACAAAGGUUCCCGAUCGACCCCAACUGGGCUCCAAUACUGAUCAAAUAAAAUGAAACAACACAAAGGGCAAGAUCUUCUUCGAGCUCCUCCUGAGCUUGGUUGCGUCAUCUGCACAGACUCAUCGGCACCUGCAAGCUGGUUUUGGAAGUAUCUGUGAGCCACGGGGACUCAGCAAUCUCGCACCCGCGAGAUCAAGACUAUUUAAGCUUAUAGGAAGGAUGGAGUAAUGAGGUGGAGCUGCAGCAAGCGACUAGCAUAUAUGGUGGCUAACAUAUGCAAAUGAGAGCGAGAAGAGAAGGCAAAGCACGAUCGAUAAGAGUAUGAUCAAGAAGUGAUCCUAUAGCAACCUACGUCAAGCAUAACUCCAACACCGUGUUCACUUCCCGGACUCCGCCGGAAAGAGACCAUCACGGUUACACACAUGGUUGAUGUAUUUUAAUUAAGGUCAACUUCGGGUUUUCUACAACCGGACGUUAACAAAUUCCCAUCUGCCCAUAACCGCGGGCACGGCUUUCGAAAGUUCAAAUCCCUGCAGGGGUGUCCCAACUUAGCCCAUGACAAGCUCUCACGGUCAACGAAGGAAUAGACCUCCACCCGAGACGUUCCGAUCAGACUCGGUAUCCCGGUACAACAAGACAUUUCGACAGGGUAAAACUAAACCAGCAACACCGCCCNNNNNNNNNNNNNNNNNNNNNNNNNNNNNNNNNNNNNNNNNNNNNNNNNNNNNNNNNNNNNNNNNNNNNNNNNNNNNNNNNNNNNNNNNNNNNNNNNNNNNNNNNNNNNNNNNNNNNNNNNNNNNNNNNNNNNNNNNNNNNNNNNNNNNNNNNNNNNNNNNNNNNNNNNNNNNNNNNNNNNNNNNNNNNNNNNNNNNNNNNNNNNNNNNNNNNNNNNNNNNNNNNNNNNNNNNNNNNNNNNNNNNNNNNNNNNNNNNNNNNNNNNNNNNNNNNNNNNNNNNNNNNNNNNNNNNNNNNNNNNNNNNNNNNNNNNNNNNNNNNNNNNNNNNNNNNNNNNNNNNNNNNNNNNNNNNNNNNNNNNNNNNNNNNNNNNNNNNNNNNNNNNNGGGGGGGGGGGGUAAAAUAAUGAUGACCCUUGAGUCCGCGAAACCCAAGGGAAAAAGAGGCUAGGUGGCAAAUGGUAAAACCAAUAUUGGGCAUUGCUGGAAGAGCUUUACUUAAGGCGAACUGUCAAGGGGUUCCCAUAAUAGCCUAACCGCGUAAGGAACGCAAAAUCCGGGAACAUAACACCGAUAUGACGGAAACUAGGGCGGCAAGAGUGGAACAAAACACCAGGCAUAAGGCCGAGCCUUCCACCCUAUACCAAGUAUAUAGAUGCAUUAAUUAAGUAAGAUAUAUUGUGAUAUCCCAACAAGUAAACAUGUUCCAACAAGGAACAACAUCUCCGUGUUCCAACAAGGAACAAACUUCAAUCUUCACCUGCAAUUAACAACGCUAUAAGAGGGGCUGAGCAAAGCGGUAACAUAGCCAAUCAACGGUUUGCUAGGACAUGGUGGGUUAGAGGUUUGACAUGGUAAUUUGGGAGGCUGACAAGCAAAUGGUAGGCAUCGUAGCAUUGGCAUAGCAAAAGAGCGAGCAAACUAGCAUAGCAAAGAUAGUAGUGAUUUCGAGGGUAUGAUCAUCUUGCCUGAAAUCCCGCAAGGAAGAAGAACGAGUCCAUGAAGAAGACAAACGGAUGUAGACGAAUGAAUCCUCACAACUCCGGAACGAAACCGAAGCUAACGAGAGAAGCAACCCGGAAAGAGACAAACAACAUGGUAAACACACAAGCAUAAACAAGUCAUGAUGCACAAACAAGUAUGAUGCAUGUCCGGUUUAAUGAGGCAUGGCAUGGCAAAGUGCAACAAACAAUACUACAAGUUAAGUGGAGCUCAAUAUGCAACGAGGUGCAUGUUGACGAAACACCACAUCAAUUAUUUAGUUAUCUCUCGUUAUGUACCCAACAAUAUUAAGUGUUGUUAAACAUGGCAAGAGGGUGAAGCAAAAUAAAACUACCUAUCUAGGCAAGUUUAAAUGAGGCCGGAAACAACAAACAACAAUUCCGGAAAAUCCCCAUGUUAUUUAGCAAUUUAAAGCAAACAACAAUUUUAAACAUUUUAAUUGUUGUUAUCAUGAUGCGGAUGACAUAUGCAAGUUUUAUGCAAUUUUUAUGAAAAUGUUGACAUGAGCAUGAUAAGAAGCAUUAGUCGCCAUGGCGGAAGGGAAAAGGUGCCACGGCGGCGAAACAAAAAUGGUGCCACGGCAACAUAUCCGAAAAUGAUGCCACGGCAACAUAUCGGUUCCGGUAGCUCACGGAGAUACCGGUACAAAAGGAAGUGAGCGUGAGCGAGUCAUGCAAGAUGGUGGGGUGCUCCCGGCUACCGGGUUCCCACGGGAUUGUAGCCUGGAAACGAGGAGGAACUUGCAAUGACAAUUCGGACAUGGUGCAAACACGGGCAUCUCAUACAACACACAUGCAUUCGUUCCACGGCGGUCGUUCUCGGCGGUUAUACCUUCGAAGCGUGCGUUUUCGGAGCGGUUCGAGUCGUCGAGGGAAGUAGUUGUUCACGACGACGGUAGAGGUACUCGCGAUCUUGGCAACGGUAGUCGUACAUGUCCGGAGAGGAACUUGUCGCAUCCACGGUAUUCGGGCGUAGUGGAAGUAGUCGUUCGGGCUCCCGUAGAUGAACUUGACGGGUCCCAUGAGUAGUCGUACUCGGCGAAUCCACGUAGUUGCACGUAUCUUUGUGCUGUAGCCAAACUUGAUGAAAACCCACGGUGACGGUAGACGUACACGAUCGGCUUGAUGGAACUUGGCGGUGGUCUCCUUGGGUCAACAGUGAUGUGCAAGGGUUAGAACGCCCGGGCCUUGGGCGCGGGACGGCGUCCUGGUGGCAUUGGCGCUCCUGCGGGCGUGGAGGACGACUUCUGCAGGCACGAAGCAGGGGGCAGCAGAGGGACUAGGCGCGGGGAGGAUCGAAACCGAGGCGGGGGAGGUCUUGGCGCAGGGCUCCAGCGACGCAGGGCACCGCAACGGGCCUGAGCGACGGCGAAACAGGAGAGGUCGCCGGCGGGGACGCGACCUCGGGGCUCUGCUCCUGCAGGCGGAGGCUGGCAAAGGAGGGGCACGGGCGCAGGGAAGGGAUGAGGCGGAGCGAGGAGAAGGGCGAGGAGGAGCGGGGGCGCUCGAUGCAGGAGGAGGAAGGGCGAGGCCGCGGCGCUGGGGAGGAAGAGAGGCUGCGAGGGAGAUGAGGGAGGAGGGAGAGCUGCGCGCUGGGCGCUGCGUGCGGAGGGAGAGAGCGAGGGAGAUGAGAUCGGGCAAGGAGGGAGGAGAGGGGAUCGAGGGGAGCGGCCGCGAGAGGAUCGGGCGCAGGGAGCUCGUCUCCUUGCUCGAUGCGUGUGUAGGCGGCGCUGGCAGGGAACGAGGGGAGAGAGAUGCGGAGGAGGGGGUCGGGCUAGGUUAAGAGGGUUAGGUGGGCUGGGCCUGAGAGGCCGGUUGGGUCGGCCCAGGUGGAGAGGAAAUGGCCAGAGGCCUGGCUGGGCUUACCUCUCUCUUCUCUCUCUCUUAUAUUUACUUUAGCAGAAAAGCAAAAAGAGAGAAGAAAAGAAAAGGAGGGUUAGGGAAAGAAAAUGCGCAAGGGGAUAAUUUCCUUGGACUCACAAAAAUAUGCUCGUACCAAGAAAAAUAGAAAGAGGCAUGAUUGAAAGAUUAAAUUCAAACUCAUUUGAUUUAAAUUCAAAUGAUUUGAAUAGGAAGUGAGGUUUGGGAAGGUCCAAAAAUGUUCGGAUUUUUGGUGGAGCUCCGGAAAAUGAUGAAAUAAUUUAUGGGCAGAGUUGGAGACCAAGAAUUAAGAUAAUAAAGGCAUUGGGAUAUUUUGCAAGUGUGUUAAGGUGAUUCCAAAACAAUGGAAUAUUUUAUUAUAGCUCCCUAAAUAUCGGGAGGGUAUGUUAUAAAGAGAAGUCACCCUUCCCUCGAUUUAAAUGGAUCGAAGAUCCAUACAAUUUAUUUAGUUGAGUUUUAAAAAUUAAAAUGGCAUGAUGGCAUGAUGACAUGAUGCAAUGCACAUGAUGCAAAGAUGAAUGCAUCAAACAAAUAAAUCACACGACGAAACUCAGAGUAGCUGGAAGUCUUCUGGAGCGUUGGUCUCAGGGCGUUACAACACUCCACCACUACAAGAGGAUCUCGUCCCGAGAUCUAGAAUGGCACCGGAGGGAAAACGGAGGAGAAAGAGAAUAGGUAAAACUAAGUUGCUUCUUUGACAAAUGAGUGAAACCACAAACCUUGAAAAAAAAGGUUAGGCCGUUUCGAGAAAAGAAUACAACGGAGAUGAACGAAGUUGAAAACACUCCAUUAGAAAAGAGAGACAAAGAACAUUGCGAAACCUUUGAGGUUGAAGGGAAGAUAUAUAUAGAAAACACUCCGGUUAAGGAAGGGGAUCAAGGGAGACCAAAUUCGGGUAGCACUCCGGUUAAAAAGAAAGUAAUUGAACAAGAACUUGAUAAGGUGAUAGAACUUGAAAAGAGGGCACGACACUCCGGUUAAAUGGACAAUCAUGAAAAGAACAUGAUCUUGACACAACAAGAAGAUGGGUUGAAGAGAACAACAACACGAUGCCUCCGGAACGAAAGAAUAGAAGUUGUAUCGACGGAACAAAAGAACGGAGAAGAAAAACAACAUCUUCUACCUCCAAUGAGCUUGAAAAGCAUCUUAAAGAGAAGGGUCACACGGAGUUGUUGAAACAAUCCACAACGAAAAGAAUAAACUUGAUAUGGUCUUAUGGAAAACAUCUCAAAUUAUGAGGUGACAGCCUGCCACUCACGGGAAAAGAAUUGAUUGGAUUUAUAUGACAAGGAGACGAGAAACUUAUUCCGCCGGGAGGAUAAAUGAAGAACUUGGGUCAUUUAUAAGCACCAUAGACAGCAACAAACCUUAGGGAAGGCUUUAGGUGGAAUAUGACACAAGAUAACUCCAACAACGAGGUUGACGGAUUUAAAAAUAACUCAUUCUUAACAACAUGUGAAUCAUGGAACAUGAACUCAAAUUAUCAAGAAUGACAUAAUACCACCUCCAAAAUAUGGUAGAAAGAAUUGCACUCCGGAUUACCAUAUGAAGAAAGCUUGAGCUCCUUAAGAAAGAAUCUCGAUGAAAACUUUGAGAAGGGAAUUAAAUCCUUGAUGAACCAUCAUGUAGAACCUCCAUGAAGAACUCCGGUAAACAAAAGGAAUAAAAAAGAAAGAGAAAUUGAAAACACAAGGUGAAUCCUUGCAAUGAUUUAGAUGGAUCUCCGUGAUAAUUAAAGCUUGGAACUCCGGGAAAAAGAGAAGAUGAAACAAAUGGAAACAAGAAUUUGAUGAGCCUCAGGAAUAAGGAAUUAAUAUCUUGGGUGAAACAAGAAUAAGAAUUACAUUAUGCUUAUCCUUCACCAUUUUAAAAUUGAUGACAAGCAACGGAUUUGGCAUACUACUUAUUCUCGUAGAAAGGAUUAAGAUAGAUAUUGCGCAAACUUGAGAAAGUCUUCAACUAUCCACCGGUAGAAUUUAGAAAGUACGAAUGCAUAGAUAUGAUACACGAAGGAAGAAAACUCUUGAACGAACCACCGGUAGGAUUGGAACAACAAAUGAAUUGAUAUGAUGAACAAGGAAGAGAGAUCUUGAAAGAACCACGAUAAGAAUUAAAAAUGAACAAAGAAAAGAUAAGGAAGACACCGGGAAGAAUUUGCAAAUACACGAAGAUGCUUGAGAGGAUUUAGAUACAUGAGAACGACGAGAUCACGAGCCGAUUAAAGAUCACUUGCACGAAGCAUCGGUAAAAUUUGGAGAAUGAUAGCUGAAAGCUGAGAAUGAAUAAACCUGAAUUGAUGGACUCCGGAUAAUCAAACCGAGAAGACUCUUGAAUUACUCCGGAUGGAUGAAAAGAAUUCUCACGAUCAAAACAAUUACGAGAGGAUGGCAACAAGCUAGAAUCACGAAUCUUGAAGAGAAUGGAGCGAGAUUAAAGAGAAACUCUUCUUCGGUCUUCAAAUGAUGAGAAUGACAACGAGAAACACCACCAAGAAUUAUUGAGGCACACCGGAAGAAUCAAAAGCGAAGAGGUUGAGCCAACUAUGAAAAGAAUUUGAAAGAUCUUGGAGAAAAGCAUUUGACUAAUGAUAACUCAUUCUUACGUCAAACUUGGAGAAGAAUUUGGGAAUAGCACCAGAAUAAUUAGAAGAGUCAGGUAAGAUCCUGGGAAAAAAACCUGUGGGUUAGGGCCCACUCAAAAGAAAACACCGUUGAAAUGAUUUAAAAGAGAGAAAGCACCGGUUGAAUUAAAUGGCUAGAAUGAGAUCACAUCCUCAAAAGAGUUUGAACGAAAACAGAGUGGAAACACGAAUCUUUGAGAUAUCUUGAGCAUUCCAGAACAAUAGAAUAGCGAGAAAUGAAUAAAUAUGAGGAGCACCGUCAAGAGAAGGUAUUGAAAUGAGGAAAAAGGUAUGAUCAACAAAACUUGACUUGAAUCCACCGGAGAAGAGAAAGGAAUGAGGAAUGACGAACUUGAAGCUCCAUUAGAAUCUUCAUGAGAAUCACCGGAUAAGAACAUUGACGGAAAAGAAUGGAGAAACUUCCCAUCAAUAAAAUGGAUACUCGAUUAAGAAAUCUGAGUCCUUGAAGAAAAACAAAAGGGAGGGAGGGUGGGAAAAACAAAGGCAACUUGGAGACGGAUGAAAUAACACCGUUGAGAAGAAGAGAUAAUUGAUCUUGCUGAUGUUGAAGUGAUCGGAUCCACUUGAAGAGAAAGACGCCGGUUGAAAAGGAUUGACAUGACAAUCUCGAUUGUCGAGAAGGAUUGGUAUUCACAUUGGAGUAUGAAAACACCAUUUGGGGAAGGUAUGGAAUCAACAUUUGACUUCGAAGCAACUCGAAUACCACAACUCAAAACAAAACAAAGGAUUGGCUUGCAAAAUAAGCCAGAACAAACAUAUGAUAGAGAUUUCGUCCGAAGUUUUCGUGGUGGGGCCUACACGGGCUCGAGUGUACAGCACCAUCAUGUACAAGGCAGUGCACAUGACAUACGAAGUGUCCCCGAGUCGGCAUAGCCAAGGACUCUUUAAGACAUAACGAGACCACUGUAAAAUCGACCGUGAAUAGGCGGACCACUAGACGUCGAACUCCAAUUUCAUAUCAUACAUCCGUCGGAAAGAUAUCCUAAGAGCUACUUGAAUUCCCACCUAUGAAACUCCCGAAAUUUUCAGGUUAUGCAAUCAGGUGUUGGGGAUACAGGGGAAGCAUAAUAUCUCACCCAAAACUAACAAAUCCUACAUCCAGCUGUAUCCAUCCUUCAACACAUAACCAAGAAACCUUCGGAAAUCGUCUACCUCAACCUUCGAAAAGCAUCCGUUAUACAAGUCAUGGCAAUACUCCCGUACUCACCUCAGUACUGGGUUAUCGGGGUUAUCUCACCAACGAACUGCAUAAAAGAGAUUUUCGAUGUCGGCGUACUAAACUCAGGUAUUCCAGAACUGCAACGAUAAAAUUAUGAUGACAACACCUCAGAGCUCAACUCCCCGGGACACUUCCACUAAACCCCUGACAGGAGGCACCAAGACAAUGUUCUCAUCAUAAAACCAUCGGAACGAUUCCAAGAUACCCGCGUGAUCCUAAAUUUUUUUUAGUGAAAUUUGAGAAGAGAAGAGUCAAAACUCUACGUCAGGAUGCCUUACCAGAGCAAUGAGGAGACUAGGAAGUAAAAAGAAUUCCUAAACUCUCCGAUAUAUAAUUCCUAAAUGACUCAAAACAUUUUUUUCUAGACUCAAACUCGGCCGCUAAAAACGAUCAAUCAGUGGGGCUCCUAAGGUCGGGGAAGACUCUGAUUACCAACUUGUAACGCCCUCAAUGCGGCUAUAUCUCCCACCUAUGUCGAAGCACGACUUAGAGGCAUAACCGCAUUGAAAGCAAUGUCGCAAGUGAGGUAAUCUUCACACAACCCAUGUAAUACAUAAGGGAAAGAGAUACAUAGUUGGCUUACAAUCGCCACUUCACACAAUUACAUGAAUAAAGCAUUACAUCAUCCAGAUACAAUCAAGGUCCGACUACGGAACCAAAAUAAAAGAAGAACCCCAAAUGUGACAAAGGUCCCCGAUCGACCCCAACUGGGCUCCAAUACUGAUCAACUAAAAUGAAACAACACAAAGGGCAAGAUCUUCUUCGAGCUCCUCCUGAGCUUGGUUGCGUCAUCUGCACAGACUCAUCGGC
rnacentral:lncRNA from 1 species